rnacentral:rRNA from 1 species
UACGGGGGGGGCAAGCGUUGUUCGGAAUUACUGGGCGUAAAGCGCGCGUAGGCGGAUCUGCAAGUCGGGGGUGAAAUCCCGAGGCUCAACCUCGGAACUGCCUUCGAUACUGCGGGUCUCGAGUCCGGGAGAGGUGAGUGGAAUUCCUAGUGUAGAGGUGAAAUUCGUAGAUAUUAGGAAGAACACCAGUGGCGAAGGCGGCUCGGUGGGCCGGUACUGACGCUGAGGAGCGAAAGCGUGGGGAGCGAACAGG